AGUCUUCGGACGAGUACAGCGGCGUAAGGGUGAGUAAUAGGUAGUCAACGUGCCCGUGAGACGCGAAUAAUUUUCCGAAAGGGAUUGUAAUGCGCGAUGAGACCACGCGCUCUUCGGAGCGAGGGGUCAAAGGUCGGGGAUCCUUCGGGACCCGGCGGCUCAUGGAGCGGACGACCUCCGAUUAGCUAGAUGGCGGGGUAACGGCCCACCAUGGCGAUGAUCGGUAGCCGGCCUGAGAGGGUGUUCGGCCACACUGGGACUGAGACACUGCCCAGACUCCUACGGGAGGCUGCAGUCGCGAAUCAUUCACAAUGGGCGCAAGCCUGAUGAUGCCACGCCGCGUGCGGGAUGAAGGCCCUCUGGGUUGUAAACCGCUGUCAAGAGGGGGGAAACGUAUGGUGUUAACAGCGCCAUGCCUGACUGCCCACUAAAGGAAGCCCCGGCAAAACAUGUGCCAGCAGCCGCGGUAAUACAUGUGGGGCAAGCGUUGUUCGGAAUUACUGGGCAUAAAGGGUGCGUAGGCGGCUUGUUAAGUCAGAGGUGAAAGUUUUCGGCCCAACCGGAAAAUGGCCUUUGAUACUGGCGAGCUUGAGUGCGUGAGGGGUAACCGGAACGAGUGGUGUAGCGGUGAAAUGCGUAGAUAUCACUCGGAAGGCCAACGGCGAAGGCAGGUUACUGGUACGCAACUGACGCUGAGGCACGAAAGCGUGGGGAGCAAACAGGAUUAGAUACCCUGGUA
rnacentral:rRNA from 1 species